GAGCCGCGGUAGCCGAGAGGGAAGGGAAGCGGUGUCCGAGUCGUAGUAAGUAACACCGGAGAGCACCGGGGCAGGUCGAUGCUCGCUGCGGGGCCGAACCCCGGCAGAAGCAUAAAGUGGCCUGGACCUGUCCCAAGGUAGCCAUCUGAAAGAACCUCUUCAAGUAGUAAAAGAUAUGCAAACUCUGGUAUCUGUUCCUGUGCCGAUUCGAUGAUAUGCACAUCUUUCCAAUGUGACUGAAAUGCAGAGCAUGCUGGUGAUACUAUCUCUGGAGAGACAUCUGAAGUUAUUAGUGUGGACAUCAAACAUCACCUUAAACUAUUUGGGGUUAAAAACAGGUGUGUCCUACAUUAGUCAAGAUUGUGAAGAAAUUCCAGAAUUCCUAGGAAGAAAAUAUGGACAUAUGGCAAAAAGGCUAGAUCUUAGCUUCAACUUGUUAAGGUUGCUGAGUUGAGCCUGGAUACAUAGAAACUGCUCCCUGGCUGCUUUGCACAAGGACUGUUAUUGUUUCUGCUGCUUUAGUGUCCAGCAGCUGGGACUGAAAUACAUCUCUUUCUCAUAGGUGGAGCAAUGGUUUCCUGGCUCCUUAACUGAACCCUGUGCUUCUCCAGGAAGAAGUGUCCUGUCAGAUUACAGCAAGCAGUUGUUUCAUAGCAGACUGUUGCAUAGCAGACUAUGAAUCCUAAAGGCUUUUUAAUCUGUAUUUAUUAAUGUUGUUUGGGUAGUCAACCUUAACUGAAGAAAGGGAAUUAAUAAUCAGCUGCUGUAUGGCAAACUUGUUUUGUUCUUUUUAUUGGUGUUAGGCUUGAGGAAAAUAUGUCUUUGUGGAAGAAAAGGGCCGUUCCCUGUUUUGUAAAUGUCCUAAAAAGUCCAAGUGUUGUAUAGACAACUUCAGGACAAAAUUUAAACAGAUGCUUCAAGGGGACCUUAACCCAUGAAAUCAUCCUCUCCUGAAGCCAAAACCCCACCUUCUAACUCCUGAAUAAAUAGAUUCUCAUGACAGAAUAAUUCA
rnacentral:lncRNA from 1 species